GGCCGGACCACUACAGUGGUCCAGUGGUUAGAGCGUCCGUCUCGGAUGCCGGAGAUUGCGGGUUCUAAUCCCGGCCCAGUUA